UCAUGAUUGGACAAAACCAAACGACGCAUUGCAGUUAUCCUCAUAGCGUGCCCAAGCCUGAGUGAAUUUUUGGUGAAGAAAAGAUGGUGAAUAGAAAAUAAUCAGAUUUUGUGAUAAGGAAGCAGGGAUAUUUCAUAAGUUUGCCCCCUUGGUGUUGUGAGUGUAGUGCUAUGAUGGUGAAAUGCUAGAAGAAGAGAUUCAUUUUGGGCCAUACAUACAUGGGCCUUCGCUGCCAGCACUUAAGGAAUGACAGAAAGGUCUUAGAGCACAGUCUUGUCCUUUAAGGACAGGGCUGCUAAGGGAUCUCCUGGAAGUCAUUCCCAACUUUAGCCUCAGCAUGACAGAAGUUGGUGGCAAAAGUCUAAACAACAUAAGUUAUAAGUAGCAGCAGUAAAUUUGAAUUCCCAUAUUGAUCAGAAUCGAGACUCGAUUCUUGAUUGAAGUGUAGUGAGUGUAGUGUUUCCUGGGACUUCGCUGUCAGCAUUUAUGGAAUGACGGAAAGGUCUUAGAGCACAGUCUUGUCCUUUGUGGACAGGGCUGCUAAGGGAUCUCCUGGAAGUCAUUCCCAACUUUAGCCAUCGAUGGACCAGGAGCGUUAAAGCAAAAUGUAAAGGUUCAAAGUGAGUCGUUUCGAUUUAUCAGCUGGC